rnacentral:rRNA from 1 species
CGGCCGCGUCGACCGCAAGUGUGAAACUCAAAUGAAUUGACGGGGACCCGCACAAGUAGCGGAGCAUGUGGUUUAAUUCGAAGCAACGCGAAGAACCUUACCUAGGCUUGACAUCCUUCUGACCGGAAGCUAAUCCUUCCUUCCCUCCGGGGACAGAAGUGACAGGUGGUGCAUUGCUGUCGUCAGCUCGUGUCGUGGUCGACGCGGCCG